rnacentral:rRNA from 1 species
AAGUCGUAACAAGGUUUCCGUAGGUGAACCUGCGGAAGGAUCAUUAAUUGAAUGAACAUGUUUCGCAGCAUGAUAUUUCAAAUCCCACCCGAGUAUCUUACCUGUUGCUUCCGUGCCGCACACGCCACAAAGGGGUGUGCCUCCUGGCCAAGGGGUACCGAGAUUACCUCUGGCCGUGGGGAGGAGCUGGCACGGGAGGUUAACCGCAAACUCUUGCCUUUUAUUGCCUUCUGUCUGAACUGUUAGUAUAUGAAAAAUUUAAAACUUUCAACAACGGAUCUCUUGGUUCUCGCAUCGAUGAAGAACGCAGCGAAAUGCGAUAAGUAGUGUGAAUUGCAGAAUUCCGUGAAUCAUCGAAUCUUUGAACGCACAUUGCGCCUCCCGGUAAUUGGGGAGGCAUGCCUGUCCGAGCGUCACUAAAAUCAACUCAAGUACUUUUGUGCUCGAUCAUGGAGGAAGAGUCCUGCCUCGUUGCGGUCGUCUCCCCUCCCAAAAUCAAAGGCGGAAAGUCACUGGUGCUCUGCGUAGUAGUAUUGUUUCGCUGAGAUUCCAGUGUCGUUUCCCGCCUCGAAACCCCCAAUAAUUCUCUUGAUUGACCUCGCAUC